rnacentral:rRNA from 1 species
UACGUAGGGGGCAAGCGUUGUCCGGAUUUAUUGGGCGUAAAGAGCGUGUAGGCGGUCAGGUAGGUCCGUUGUGAAAACUCGAGGCUCAACCUCGAGACGCCGAUGGAAACCAUCUGACUAGAGUCCGGAAGAGGAGAGUGGAAUUCCUGGUGUAGCGGUGAAAUGCGCAGAUAUCAGGAAGAACACCCGUGGCUAAGGCGGCUCUCUAGUACGGUACUGACGCUGAGACGCGAAAGCGUGGGUAGCAAACAGG